rnacentral:rRNA from 1 species
GACGGAGGGUGCAAGCGUUAUCCGGAUUUAUUGGGUUUAAAGGGUGCGUAGGCUGUUUGUCAAGUCAGGGGUGAAAUGUCCGGGCCUAACCCGGGAACUGCCUUUGAUACUGGCAGGCUGGAAUACGGAUGCCGUGGGAGGAAUGAGUAGUGUAGCGGUGAAAUGCAUAGAUAUUACUCAGAACACCGAUUGCGAAGGCAUCUCACGAAUCCGUCAUUGACGCUGAGGCACGAAAGCGUGGGGAUCAAAC